UACGUAGGGGGCAAGCGUUAUCCGGAUUUACUGGGUGUAAAGGGAGCGCAGACGGCGGUGCAAGUCUGAUGUGAAAACCGGGGGCUCAACCCCCAGGUUGCAUUGGAAACUGCACGGCUGGAGUGCCGGAGGGGCAAGCGGAAUUCCUGGUGUAGCGGUGAAAUGCGUAGAUAUCAGGAGGAACACCGGUGGCGAAGGCGGCUUGCUGGACGGCAACUGACGUUGAGGCUCGAGAGCGUGGGGAG
rnacentral:rRNA from 1 species